rnacentral:rRNA from 1 species
GAUGAACGCUGGCGGCGUGCCUAAUACAUGCAAGUCGAGCGAACGGACGAGAAGCUUGCUUCUCUGAUGUUAGCGGCGGACGGGUGAGUAACACGUGGAUAACCUACCUAUAAGACUGGGAUAACUUCGGGAAACCGGAGCUAAUACCGGAUAAUAUUUUGAACCGCAUGGUUCAAAAGUGAAAGACGGUCUUGCUGUCACUUAUAGAUGGAUCCGCGCUGCAUUAGCUAGUUGGUAAGGUAACGGCUUACCAAGGCAACGAUGCAUAGCCGACCUGAGAGGGUGAUCGCCCACACUGGAGCUGAGACGCGGUCCAGACGCCUACGAGAGGCAGCAGUAGGGAAUCUUCCGCAAUGGGCGAAAGCCUGACGGAGCAACGCCGCGUGAGUGAUAAAGGUCUUCGGAUCGUGAAACUCUGUUAUUAGGGAAGAACAUAUGUGUAAGUAACUGUGCACAUCUUGACGGUACCUAAUCAGAAAGCCACGGCUAACUACGUG